rnacentral:misc_RNA from 1 species
GAUGAAGAACGUAGCGAAAUGCGAUAAGUAAUGUGAAUUGCAGAAUUCAGUGAAUCAUCGAAUCUUUGAACGCACAUUGCGCCCGCCAGUAUUCUGGCGGGCAUGCCUGUUCGAGCGUCAUUUGUACCUUCAAGCUUUGCUUGGUGUUGGGUGUUUGUCCUGAGGGACUCGCCUUAAAGUAAUUGGCAGCCAGUGUUUGGUUUUGAAGCGCAGCACAAGUCGCGAUUCAAAGCUAUACGCCCGCUUCCACAAGCCUUUUUCACUUUUGACCUCGGAUCAGGUAGGGAUACCCGCUGAACUUAAGCAUAUCAAUAAGCGGAGGA